rnacentral:rRNA from 1 species
ACGAACGCUGGCGGCAUGCCUAACACAUGCAAGUCGAACGAGCCCUUCGGGGUUAGUGGCGCACGGGUGCGUAACGCGUGGGAAUCUGCCCUUGGGUUCGGAAUAACAGUGAGAAAUUACUGCUAAUACCGGAUGAUGUCUUCGGACCAAAGAUUUAUCGCCCAAGGAUGAGCCCGCGUAGGAUUAGCUAGUUGGUGGGGUAAUGGCCUACCAAGGCGACGAUCCUUAGCUGGUCUGAGAGGAUGAUCAGCCACACUGGGACUGAGACACGGCCCAGACUCCUACGGGAGGCAGCAGUGGGGAAUAUUGGACAAUGGGCGAAAGCCUGAUCCAGCAAUGCCGCGUGAGUGAUGAAGGCCUUAGGGUUGUAAAGCUCUUUUACCCGGGAUGAUAAUGACAGUACCGGGAGAAUAAGCUCCGGCUAACUCCGUG